rnacentral:tRNA from 1 species
GCUAUUUUGGCAGAAUAAUUGUAAUGAUUUUAGAAGUCAAAUUAUAUAUAUAGAUAUAUUAUAUAUAAAUAGUA